rnacentral:tRNA from 1 species
UGUCCCGUAGCUCAGUUGGUAGAGAGGGUGCAGAGCACUGGAAGUGAGUUCCUUUGCUCCGCUUAGCCGGUCGCUGGUUCGAAUCCAGCCGGGACGA